rnacentral:lncRNA from 1 species
ACCCACAUGGAAGUGGCAAACACAGGACGGAGAGGCGCUGUAUAUCCUUCACUCAGCUUCCCGCAAUAAAAGCGUCUUACAUUUGUAUAAUCACAGCCGCUGGUCGCUGAGGACGGGACACGUUCCGAGAAACGCCUCGUUAGGCGAUCCUGUCGUUGUGCGAACACCAUAGCAGAGCUGAAGUCAGACACUCGUCCCAGGGUGACGCAUGCGCCUCUGCCGUCUGGAUCUGAACCGCCUGCUGGGCAGUAGCCCAGCUGCACCCAGAAUGGGAUUUGGGGCUUUGAGCGAUUGGGAAACGUGAUGACCUAUGAACAGAGAGUCUAAGCUGACAGCCAUCAUCAAUGACAACUGAAAGAUCUGGUGUGGGGACUCCCAGUCUGUAACACCAGAGGGUCAACAUUGCCAACCCCCUCCCCUGUAUCCCACUGGCUUAUAUAACUGCUUCAAGAUUCUGUUCCCCCUUAAGAUGGUUCUUUUGGACAUUCAGUUGGCAUCUUCCCCUUGGCUAGCAAGCUGUAAUAAAAUGCCCUUUCUCUGCCACCAUGUUGCCUCUUGACAAUGGCUUUUGUCUGACAGCAAGCCAAUUGUGCCCUUUGUGCAGUAACACUGGCUGCUCUUCCCACCUGUCCUUGUGCCCAUACUUCCAAC